UCAGCAAUUUGGAGGAAUCAAUGGAGUCUGCUUUUACGUCAGCAACAUUUUUGAGUCAGCAGGUAAAGAGGUUGACUUAUGCUGCAGGCCCUUUAGCAUCACAAGGGCAAGGAAAAAUCACAUUCUGCCUCUGGUUAAUCAAAUAAGAAGACAUGCUUAACUAUCCGUUUUGCUCGUAUAACGUAUUAUUCCCAUAAUGGAUAUUUACUUAUUUCAUUUCCAAUAUCUCAGGAUUUUCUGCCACUAUUGGGACCAUAACCUAUGCCAUUAUUCAGGUUUGUAACCUUCACGAGCUUCAAGUCUAAAAUAUGUCCAUCCAUCCAACAGGAAUUGGUUGAAAUGGAUCUAUUUUGUAGGUAGUGGUUACUGCCCUUAACACAACUGUGAUAGACAAAGGUGGAAGAAGGCCUCUCUUAUUGGUGAUGUUUUGUUCAAGGCCCUGUUAACUUUUAAUAUUUUGUUGGGCAUAUCAUUUUUCACGUACAGAACUUUAUAUUUUGCUUUCUUUACACUCUAGGUUUCUGCAUCAGGACUGGUCACUGCCUGCGCUAUAACUGCAAUUUCAUUCUAUCUGAAGGUUACUCCUAAGCAAUCAAACUAACAUCUUUUUUCUUCACUGUCUUUCUCAAAUAUUUGACAUGUAAAGUUUUUCUGUGAAAGCAGGCUAAUGAAUUAGCACUCAAGUCUGUACCUAUACUCGCCGUCACUGGCAUACUGGUAACGUCAUAAGCGUUUUUUUAUGAUAAUCCAACAGAUUGAUCUCCAGGAAACAAAAGUUCUUACUAUUUCCUACUUUUACAUCUUCGAAUGCAGCUAUAUAUAGGAUCAUUUUCAGCUGGAAUGGGUGCGGUUCCCUGGGUUGUAAUGUCAGAGGUAAUAUACUUUUCAAGAUGAAAAUUCUAGCUGUUGGAGACUGAUAUCUCAUCCAUAAAAUUAAAAAAAAAAAAAAAAAAUUGUUGCAGAUAUUUCCUAUAAAUAUUAAAGGAGUAGCUGGAAGCCUAGCAACACUGAUGAACUGGUUUGGUGCAUGGACAAUUUCCUACACUUACAACUUUCUCAUGAGCUGGAGCUCCUAUGGUAAAUAAAACAAAAUUUUAUUCUGAAGCUAUGGAAAUCGAAAGACAACUCGAGUGCAUAAAAACCCUAAGUAAAUUUUAACUGUGAAAUUCAGGUACCUUUAUUCUCUAUGCUGCAAUCAAUGCUCUGGGUAUCUUCUUCGUGGCCAAGGUGGUACCAGAAACCAAAGGGCGAACCCUGGAACAAAUCCAAGCAGCCAUUAAUGCAUAGAGAGACAGAAAUGAAUGAAAGAUAACCAUAUCUUUGAAAUAAAUGCUAUUACAUAACUAUGAUCCGACCAAAACGGAAUCAUGGGUAAUUGAUGUUGUUCAUAGAAACAACUGAAAGGAGGGGUGCUAAGAUUUGUUAUCUCACCUGAUUUGUACUGAGAUCAGCUGUGAAUUGAGCAUUUGUUGAUGAAAUUCAAUCUCCAAAUUUGGAUUUACCUAAUUCUGCUCCCACUUGGGUUCUUGGAGGCUAAGAAUCG
rnacentral:lncRNA from 1 species